GGCAAUUAGAGAAGCAAUCCUAUCACACGUUUGGAAUAGUCAGAAAAUGUGCUGAUAGGAGCUAAUCAGAGCGACAAUCUUCAGGCCCUAUAAAAAACAUAAAACUGACCCAAGAAAAGAAAUAGAAACUAGAUGUGAAUCCUGGGCAAGUGUACAACGGUGACAGAAAGAGCACUAUGCUCUGGGUAACCCUAAAAGUUUACUAAGGACACUGUAAGGCUGCACAGACAUUGGCCUCAUUUUACUUCCUGGAAUACUUCAAGCUCCAUUCUGCCUCAGGGCAUUAGCACAUGUUGUAACCUCCUUCUGGUCUGCUAUUUCUCAUGUAUUUUUCAAGUUUGGCUCCUUCUCAUCCUUUAAGUCUAGUUUCAAUGUCACCUUCUUAGAAACAAUUUCUUUUAACACCUUAUCUGUGUGUUUCCCUCCCUGCUACUAAGACUGCACUCUAUGUCUUUAAUAGCACUUACAAUUUACAAUUACAUAUUUAUUUGCUUGCUUUCUUCUGUCUCCCCACUAGACUAUGAACUCUUUGAAGGAGAUGGUAAACUGUCUCUUGUUCAUUAAUAUAUAUGUAGCACCAAGCAUCACAUCUGGCACAUUCCAAGCUCUGAAGAACUAUUUGAAUAAACAACAUGAGAAUUAUUUA